AGGCAGCUAUGUUACUGAAGAGCAGGCUGCAAAGGCACAUGAUUUGGCAGCCCUUAAAUAUUGGGGCACAGAUCCAAACACCAAACUGAACUUCAGUAUUUCUGACUAUGAGAAAGAAAUCGAGAUUAUGAAGACCAUGUCUCAAGAUGAAUUUGUAGCCUACAUAAGGAGGCAAAGCAGUUGUUUCUCAAGAGGUACUUCAUCAUACCGGGGUGUGACCAG